UUCAAAUUUCCGAAGUUUGGUUAGAUAAAAAUUAAACAUUGUUCGUACAAAUCGUAGCCAUAACACGGGUGCACGACUCACACCGCCAGCCUCCCCGAGUCUUUUCCGAAAAACGCUUCUGUUGCGGGGAUGCGAGUGCGAGCUG
ensembl:ncRNA C31H5.9 ncRNA